CGUGGAGACAGGUGGUGCAUGGCUGUCGUCAGCUCGUGUCGUGAGAUGUUGGGUUAAGUCCCGCAACGAGCGCAACCCUCACCCCUAGUUGCCACCGGGUAAAGCCGAGCACUCGAGGGGAACUGCCAGCGUCAAGCUGGAGGAAGGCGGGGAUGACGUCAAGUCAUCAUGCCCCUUACGCCCUGGGCUACACACGUGCUACAAUGGCCAGUACAAAGGGACGCGAGACCGCGAGGUGGAGCUAAUCCCAAAAAACUGGCCUAAGUUCAGAUUGCAGUCUGCAACUCGACUGCAUGAAGGAGGAAUCGCUAGUAAUCGCGCAUCAGCCCGGCGCGGCGAAUACGUUCCCGGGCCUUGUACACACCGCCCGUCACACCACGAAAGCUGUCUGUACUCGAAGUCGCUGAG
rnacentral:rRNA from 1 species